rnacentral:lncRNA from 1 species
AAAGAAAGAUCAAAACGCACAAAGUGUUGUAAUUUAGUUCAGGGGCGAUGGAUAAUUCGAAUGUAUAGUGUGUGGGUGUGGGAAUAUUACCAGAUGAGUGGAGAGGAUGACUUUAGCACCAUUUUCAAUCAAAUACUUGAUUGUUGGAAUAGCUGCACGGAUUCUGGUAUCAUCGGUGAUAGUCUGGUUAUCAUCGAGAGGUACAUUGAGAUCAGCUCUCACGAAAACCUUCUUCCCCUUUAAAUCAGCUGAGGUCAGAUCUCCGACGCUCUUCUUCGCCAUAGAAACCACUCCUUUGCUCCCCUUCCCCCGCACUGAUUCAACCUUGGAAGCAACGUGGAG